GACGAACGCUGGCGGCGUGCUUAACACAUGCAAGUCGAACGGUAAGGCCCUUCGGGGUACACGAGUGGCGAACGGGUGAGUAACACGUGGGUGAUCUGCCCUGCACUUCGGGAUAAGCCUGGGGAACUGGGUCUAAUACCGGAUAGGACCCUGGGAUGCAUGUCCUGGGGUGGAAAGCUUUUGCGGUGUGGGAUGGGCCCGCGGCCUAUCAGCUUGUUGGUGGGGUGAUGGGCUACCAAGGCGACGACGGGUAGCCGGCCUGAGAGGGUGACCGGCCACACUGGGACUGAGAUACGGCCCAGACUCCUACGGGAGGCAGCAGUGGGGAAUAUUGCACAAUGGGCGCAAGCCUGAUGCAGCGACGCCGCGUGAGGGAUGACGGCCUUCGGGUUGUAAACCUCUUUCAGCACCGACGAAGCGCAAGUGACGGUAGGUGCAGAAGAAGGACCGGCCAACUACGUGCCAGCAGCCGCAGUAA
rnacentral:rRNA from 1 species